rnacentral:misc_RNA from 1 species
CUAAGGAUAUUCAAGAAGCAAUACUAGCCUUACGGCAGUGGCGCUAUUGAAACGGAACAUACAAUUGGUUGUUUAUUCAGUUUUGAGGGAGCAAAUUCUCUCUACUUAUGUUUGGAUUGUACCUUGAAAACUAAAUAAGAGUAAGUAUCAACGACAUCAAAUCAAAAGUGGAAACUCUAUAUUCGUUUAGAGUGGAAACUUAUUUUACGUU